UGAGGAAUUUUGGACAAUGGGCGAAAGCCUGAUCCAGCAAUGCCGCGUGUGUGAAGAAGGCCUUCGGGUUGUAAAGCACUUUUGUCCGGAAAGAAAUCCUUGGCUCUAAUACAGUCGGGGGAUGACGGUACCGGAAGAAUAAGCACCGGCUAACUACGUGCCAGCAGCCGCGGUAAUACGUAGGGUGCAAGCGUUAAUCGGAAUUACUGGGCGUAAAGCGUGCGCAGGCGGUUUGCUAAGACCGAUGUGAAAUCCCCGGGCUCAACCUGGGAACUGCAUUGGUGACUGGCAGGCUAGAGUAUGGCAGAGGGGGGUAGAAUUCCACGUGUAGCAGUGAAAUGCGUAGAGAUGUGGAGGAAUACCGAUGGCGAAGGCAGUCCCCUGGGCCAAUACUGACGCUCAUGCACGAAAGCGUGGGGAGCAAACAGGAUUAGAUACCCUGGUAGUCCAGCGCCCUAAACGAUGUCAACUAGUUGUUGGGAUUCAUUCCUUAGUAACGUAGCUAACGCGUGAAGUUGACCGCCUGGGGAGUACGGUCG
rnacentral:rRNA from 1 species